rnacentral:rRNA from 1 species
GUGGGGAAUCUUGGGCAAUGGGCGAAAGCCUGACCCAGCGACGCCGCGUGGGUGAUGAAGGCCUUUGGGUCGUAAAACCCUGUCAUGUGGGACGAAACGCUUGGGCUCUAACAUAGCUCAGGCUUGACGGUACCACAGGAGGAAGCCCCGGCUAACUCCGUGCCAGCAGCCGCGGUAAUACGGAGGGGGCGAGCGUUAUUCGGAAUUAUUGGGCGUAAAGGGCAGGCAGGCGGCUUCGUAUGUCCUUUGUGAAAGCCCUCGGCUCAACCGAGGAAUUGCAUGGGAAACUGCGGAGCUUGAGGCCGGGAGAGGGUAGUGGAAUUCCCAGUGUAGCGGUGAAAUGCGUAGAUAUUGGGAGGAACACCAGUGGCGAAGGCGGCUACCUGGACCGGUUCUGACGCUGAACUGCGAAAGCUAGGGGAGCGAACGGGAUUAGAAACCCGGGUAGUCC